AUUGAACGCUGGCGGCAGGCCUAACACAUGCAAGUCGAACGAGUGGCGGACGGGUGAGUAAUGUCUGGGAAACUGCCUGAUGGAGGGGGAUAACUACCGGAAACGGUAGCUAAUACCGCAUACCAUCAGAUGUGCCCAGAUGGGAUUAGCUAGUUGGUGGGGUUACGGCUACCCAAAGCGACGAUCCCUAGCUGGUCUGAGAGGAUGACCAGCCACACUGUAACUGAGACACGGUCCAGACUCCUACGGAGGGCAUGAGUGGGGAAUAUUGCACAAUUGGCACAAGCCUGCUGCAGCCAUGCCGCGUGUAUGAAGAAAGCCUUCGGAUUGUAAAGUACUUUCAGCGGGGAGGCGUUACCCGCAGAAGGAGCACCGGCUAACUCCGUGCCAGCAGCCGCGGUAAUAC
rnacentral:rRNA from 1 species